AUUGAACGCUGGCGGCAUGCUUUACACAUGCAAGUCGAACGGUAACAGGCCGCAAGGUGCUGACGAGUGGCGAACGGGUGAGUAUGCAUCGGAACGUGCCCAGUCGUGGGGGAUAACUACUCGAAAGAGUAGCUAAUACCGCAUACGAUCUAUGGAUGAAAGCGGGGGACCGUAAGGCCUCGCGCGAUUGGAGCGGCCGAUGUCAGAUUAGGUAGUUGGUGGGGUAAAGGCUCACCAAGCCAACGAUCUGUAGCUGGUCUGAGAGGACGACCAGCCACACUGGGACUGAGACACGGCCCAGACUCCUACGGGAGGCAGCAGUGGGGAAUUUUGGACAAUGGGCGCAAGCCUGAUCCAGCAAUGCCGCGUGCAGGAAGAAGGCCUUCGGGUUGUAAACUGCUUUUGUACGGAACGAAACGGCUCUGGUUAAUACCCGGGGCUAAUGACGGUACCGUAAGAAUAAGCACCGGCUAACUACGUG
rnacentral:rRNA from 1 species